GCUGACACUCUUUCCAUCCUUCGGAUAUCAUUUACAGGACACUGGAGAUGGUGGAAGAACCAGAAAGCUACACUGCUUUUUCAUGGUGUAAACUACUGCUGAAAAUCAUAAAGAAGAAGAAAAAAGCCCUUGAUUUGUUGUUCUGAAUAAAGUGACAUUAAGAGAACAUAUGCUUCCUUUUCACAUAUUACUUAAGAGAUUCUGACACUGUGUCCAAAGCAACUCCAUCUUCAAGGGGGAAAAAAGAAAAUCAUGCCAAAUCUGAUAGUCUUCUGAUGUGUUCCAUUAGUUGUGGAUUUCUACAAGGAUUUUUCAAACAAAAAAUUAAUUAUUAUAAACAGCAAUGGCUUUACUCAAGAUGCCACAAAUAAGGAGAUUCAGAUGGAUCACUUUACCAGCUGUCAAGGCCAAUACUUCUGUACAGUCCCUGCUCUCAACAACAGCCUCAGUGUCCUUGUGGUGGGGUGUCUUGGAAGGACUGUGCACAUCAAGCUUCACACUCCCUCUGCACUUGAGGCUCUCUCUGCUGCAGAAAGCUGCACCGUUCGGAAGAAGCAAGGCAGUCUUUCCUCACAGCUACGAUGCUGCACCGCUUUCGACAGAACCUGCUUUUCCCUCCAUUUACCUGGGCGGCUGCUGCUCCUUCUGCUGCUGCUGGGGCUGCUGCAGUCCUGCUGCCUGCACUUCACCCUGGCUUGGCUGGCUCGAAACUCUCUCGUCUGCACAUUGCUAAGGAAGAAGAGCGAUGGAGCUGCGGAUUUUUUUUAUUGGUUCUGGAAGCCAAAGGUUGCAAUAUGUGAUGAUUUUGGGGUUUUCUGUGGCAGGGCGGAGGGAGGAGAAAGGAAGGGUGUUAAUCUAGGAUAG
rnacentral:lncRNA from 1 species